CGGGACCCGGAAGGCCGAAUCGGACCAGGCGGAGGCCCGGGGAGGCCGGGUCCCCUGGUCGCAUGUCCUUCGGCGGGCCGCGAGGGCCGGAGUUAAGAUGAGUCCAGCGAAGUGCCUAGAGUACCAAAUUCGUGGAGACGUUUCCUCUUUGGGGAACACACGCCAACCCCAGAGACAGCUUUGGUCUGAAUCGUGCAGGUUCCGGGAAGACACGGUGACCAGCUGAAUCGUGUGGUCUCAGCUGCAGUCUAGUCAUCAGAUAAACAUCAGACGAAUCCCAAUGAAGAAAAUUCUACAAAACAUCUGACUAGUUCUCCUCAAAGGUCAUCAAAACAAGGAAAGUCUGAGAAAUUGUCACAAACGAUAGGAACCUAAAAAGACAUAACGACUCAAUGUAGUGUGGUACCCUUGAUUGAGUACUGGAACAGGAAAAGGAAAUUAUGCAAAAACUAUGGAAAUAUAAACAAAGUAUGGACUUUAGCUAAUAACAGUGUAUCAGUGUUGGUUAAUUGUAACAAAUAUACUCAUGUAAGAUGUUAACAGUAGGGGAACGUGGGUUUGGGGUUGAUAUCCUUCGGAUGUUUGUCUCCUCCAAAUCUCAUGUUCAAAUUUGAUCCCCAGUGGCGGACUUGGGGCCUGGUGGGAGAUGUUUGAAUCAUGGGGGUGGAUCCCUCAUGAAUGGCUCUGUGCUGUCCCCACGGUAAUAAGUGAGUUCUCACUCUAUUCGUUCACUAGAGAACUGAUUGUUAAAACAAGAGCCUGGCACUUUCCUCCCCUCUCCCUCUUGCUCCCUCUCUUGCCAUGUGAUGUCUGCUCCCCUUCUCUUUCUGCCAUGAUUGGAAGCUUCCUGAAGUCCUCACCAGAAUCAGGUGCUAAUGCCAUCCUUCUUGUACAAGCCCACAAAACCAUGAACCAAAUAUUAAUAAACCUGUUUUCUUCAUAAAUUA